GCGUGAGUGAUGAAGGUUCUCGGAUCGUAAAGCUCUGUUGCCAAGGAAGAACGGCUCGGAGAGUAACUGCUCUGAGCAUGACGGUACUUGAGAAGAAAGCCCCGGCUAACUACGUGCCAGCAGCCGCGGUAAUACGUAGGGGGCAAGCGUUGUCCGGAAUUAUUGGGCGUAAAGCGCGCGCAGGCGGUUUGGUAAGUCUGGUGUUUAAGCCCGGGGCUCAACCCCGGUUCGCAUCGGAAACUGUCAAACUUGAGUGCAGGAGAGGAAAGCGGAAUUCCACGUGUAGCGGUGAAAUGCGUAGAGAUGUGGAGGAACACCAGUGGCGAAGGCGGCUUUCUGGACUGUAACUGACGCUGAGGCGCGAAAGCGUGGGGAGCAAACAGGAUUAGAUACCCUGGUAGUCCACGCCGUAAACGAUGAGUGCUAGGUGUCGGGGGUUUCGAUACCCGCGGUGCCGAAGUUAACACAGUAAGCACUCCGCCUGGGGAGUACGCUCGCAAGAGUG
rnacentral:rRNA from 1 species